rnacentral:rRNA from 1 species
GAUGAACGCUGGCGGCGUGCCUAACACAUGCAAGUCGAGCGAUUUACUUCGGUAAAGAGCGGCGGACGGGUGAGUAACGCGUGGGUAACCUGCCCUGUACACACGGAUAACAUACCGAAAGGUAUGCUAAUACGGGAUAAUAUGCUUUUAUCGCAUGGUAGAAGUAUCAAAGCUUUUGCGGUACAGGAUGGACCCGCGUCUGAUUAGCUAGUUGGUAAGGUAACGGCUUGCCAAGGCGACGAUCAGUAGCCGACCUGAGAGGGUGAUCGGCCACAUUGGAACUGAGACACGGUCCAAACUCCUACGGGAGGCAGCAGUGGGGAAUAUUGCACAAUGGGCGAAAGCCUGAUGCGGCAACGCCGCGUGAGCGAUGAAGGCCUUCGGGUCGUAAAGCUCUGUCCUCAAGGAAGAUAAUGACGGUACUUGAGGAGGAAGCCCCGGCUAACUACGUGCCAGCAGCCGCAGUAACAC